rnacentral:rRNA from 1 species
GAUGAACGCUGGCGGCGUGCCUAAUACAUGCAAGUCGAGCGAACAGAUAAGGAGCUUGCUCCUUUGACGUUAGCGGCGGACGGGUGAGUAACACGUGGGUAACCUACCUAUAAGACUGGAAUAACUCCGGGAAACCGGGGCUAAUGCCGGAUAACAUUUAGAACCGCAUGGUUCUAAAGUGAAAGAUGGUUUUGCUAUCACUUAUAGAUGGACCCGCGCCGUAUUAGCUAGUUGGUAAGGUAACGGCUUACCAAGGCAACGAUACGUAGCCGACCUGAGAGGGUGAUCGGCAACACUGGAACUGAGACACGGUCCAGACUCCUACGGGAGGCAGCAGUAGGGAAUCUUCCGCAAUGGGCGAAAGCAUGACGGAGCAACGCCGCGUGAGUGAUGAAGGUCUUCGGAUCGUAAAACUCUGUUAUUAGGGAAGAACAAAUGUGUAAGUAACUGUGCACGUCUUGACGGUACCUAAUCAGAAAGCCACGGCUAACUACGUG